rnacentral:rRNA from 1 species
AUUGAACGCUGGCGGCAUGCUUUACACAUGCAAGUCGAACGGCAACAGGCCGCAAGGUGCUGACGAGUGGCGAACGGGGGCGUAAUGCAUCGGAAUGUGCCCAGUCCUGGGGUAUAACUACUCGUAAGAGUAGCUAAUACCCCCUACUACCUAAGACUACAAGCGGGGGACCGCAAGGCCUCUCCGGAUUUUGCCCGCCUGUAUGAGCCGAUGUCGGAUUAGCUAGUUGGGGGGGUAAAGGCCCACCAAGGCGACGAUCCGUAGCUGGUCUGAGAGGAUGAUCAGCCACACUGGGACUGAGACACGGCCCAGACUCCUACGGGAGGCAGCAGUGGGGAAUUUUGGACAAUGGGCGCAAGCCUGAUCCAGCAAUGCCGCGUGCGGGAAGAAGGCCUUCGGGUUGUAAACUGCUUUUGUACGGAACGAAAAGGAUCUGGUUAAUACCCGGCGCUAAUGACGGUACCGUAAGAAUAAGCACCGGCUAACUACGUG